rnacentral:lncRNA from 1 species
CUUUCCCGGGCCACGCUCGUUACAGAGCACAGGUACUGGCUAAAUGUGUCUGAUCAUUCAUCAUGAUUUCGCCCUCCACUUUGUCACAGCGUGGGGAUUUAAGGAAGAUAGAUGGUACAAGAUGUUGUCUCCUCCGCAGACGCUUUCUGCUCUGUCUAGGCUGCUCUGGAUAGCAACUGCUCCUUGGAGACGUAAGGAAACUCUCGAGGACCAGAUCAAAGGGAGCCUAGGAGAGAUGCCUGAGGUGGCACCAAGUCACUCGCCAUACGUGGGGGGCCACCUUGAAAGUCCUCUACCCCAGUCAACGCCAUGUGAAGGCGCAGGGAGCCGAUCCCGCCAAAUCCUGGAGCGCAGUAAAUCAUUCCUGCUUCCUAAGGAACCACGCACUGGGGCUGCUUCUCACACAGCAGAAGGUAACCAAAACACCCUCCACCCAUUUGUCCUCAUUUGUGUG